AGAGUUUGAUCAUGGCUCAGAACGAACGCUGGCGGCAGGCCUAACACAUGCAAGUCGAGCGCCCAGCAAUGGGAGCGGCAGACGGGUGAGUAACACGUGGGAACCUUCCCUAUAGUACGGAAUAGCCCAGGGAAACUUGGAGUAAUACCGCAUACGCCCGAGAGGGGAAAGAUUUAUCGCUAUAGGAUGGGCCCGCGUAGGAUUAGCUAGUUGGUGAGGUAAUGGCUCACCAAGGCGACGAUCUAUAGCUGGUCUGAGAGGAUGAUCAGCCACACUGGGACUGAGACACGGCCCAGACUCCUACGGGAGGCAGCAGUGAGGAAUAUUGGACAAUGGGCGCAAGCCUGAUCCAGCCAUGCCGCGUGAGUGAAGAAGGCCUUCGGGUUGUAAAGCUCUUUCAGAUGUGAAGAUAAUGACGGUAGCAUCAGAAGAAGCCCCGGCUAAAUUCGUG
rnacentral:rRNA from 1 species